rnacentral:rRNA from 1 species
GGAAUCUUAGACAAUGGGGGAAACCCUGAUCUAGCCAUGCCGCGUGAGUGACGAAGGCCUUAGGGUCGUAAAGCUCUUUCGCCAGGGAUGAUAAUGACAGUACCUGGUACAGAAACCCCGGCUAACUCCGUGCCCGCAGCCGCGGUAAUACGGAGGGGGUUAGCGUUGUUCGGAAUUACUGGGCGUAAAGCGCACGUAGGCGGACUUUUAAGUCGGGGGUGAAAUCCCAGGGCUCAACCCUGGAACUGCCCUUGAUACUGGCGGUCUUGAGUUCGAGAGAGGUGAGUGGAAUUCCGAGUGUAGAGGUGAAAUUCGUAGAUAUUCGGAGGAACACCAGUGGCGAAGGCGGCUCACUGGCUCGAUACUGACGCUGAGGUGCGAAAGCGUGGGGAGCAAAC